GGGAGCUUGCUCCCUGAUGUUAGCGGCGGACGGGUGAGUAACACGUGGGUAACCUGCCUGUAAGACUGGGAUAACUCCGGGAAACCGGGGCUAAUACCGGAUGGUUGUNUGAACCGCAUGGUUCAGACAUAAAAGGUGGCUUCGGCUACCACUUACAGAUGGACCCGCGGCGCAUUAGCUAGUUGGUGAGGUAACGGCUCACCAAGGCNACGAUGCGUAGCCGACCUGAGAGGGUGAUCGGCCACACUGGGACUGAGACACGGCCCAGACUCCUACGGGAGGCAGCAGUAGGGAAUCUUCCGCAAUGGACGAAAGUCUGACGGAGCAACGCCGCGUGAGUGAUGAAGGUUUUCGGAUCGUAAAGCUCUGUUGUUAGGGAAGAACAAGUGCCGUUCAAAUAGGGCGGCACCUUGACGGUACCUAACCAGAAAGCCACGGCUAACUACGUGCCAGCAGCCGCGGUAAUACGUAGGUGGCAAGCGUUGUCCGGAAUUAUUGGGCGUAAAGGGCUCGCAGGCGGUUUCUUAAGUCUGAUGUGAAAGCCCCCGGCUCAACCGGGGAGGGUCAUUGGAAACUGGGGAACUUGAGUGCAGAA
rnacentral:rRNA from 1 species